CCGCCUCGCCAGAUCAGGCCAUCGACGAGGCUCGACCUCGCCGGAUCUGGCGAGGUCGAGCCUCGCUGGCUGAUUUGGCGAGGCGG
rnacentral:pre_miRNA from 1 species